rnacentral:rRNA from 2 species
AAAAUGACUCUCGGCAACGGAUAUCUAGGCUCUCGCAUCGAUGAAGAACGUAGCAAACUGCGAUACUUGGUGUGAAUUGCAGAAUCCCGUGAACCAUCGAGUUUUUGAACGCAAGUUGCGCCCRAAGUCGCUAGGCCAAGGGCACGUCUGCCUGGGUGUCACG